rnacentral:rRNA from 1 species
UACAGAGGGUGCGAGCGUUAAUCGGAAUUACUGGGCGUAAAGCGUGCGUAGACGGUCAUGUAAGUCGGAUGUGAAAGCCCCGGGCUCAACCUGGGAAUUGCAUUCGAGACUGCAUGGCUUGGGUGCGGAAGAGGAAGCGGAAUUUCCGGUGUAGCGGUGAAAUGCGUAGAUAUCAGGAGGAACACCGGUGGUGUAGACGGCUUUCUGGACCGUAACUGACGCUGAGACACGAAAGCGUGGGUAGCAAACAGG